GUGCCAUGUUUGACUUUUUGCAUUUCCAGAUGAAGGAGUUGAGAUAUCCUGAAUGUCAUCACAGUCCUGCUACCAGAGCGAGGAUCGGGCAGAGUGCAGGUGACGGAGGUGAACGAGGCCCCCGAAGUGAGCCGCAAGAAGAUGCGUCCACCUCCUGAGGACGGCUCCCAAAGUGCCGCACCGGAGCACCGCCCAAGUUAAGUGGGGA